rnacentral:rRNA from 1 species
AGGGCGUUGAAGCAUGAUCGUAAGGACAUGUGGAGCGCUUAGAAGUGAGAAUGCCGGUGUGAGUAGCGAAAGACGGGUGAGAAUCCCGUCCACCGAUUGACUAAGGUUUCCAGAGGAAGGCUCGUCCGCUCUGGGUUAGUCGGGUCCUAAGCUGAGGCCGACAGGCGUAGGCGAUGGAUAACAGGUUGAUAUUCCUGUACCACCUAUAAUCGUUUUAAUCGAUGGGGGGACGCAGUAGGAUAGGCGAAGCGUGCGAUUGGAUUGCACGUCUAAGCAGUAAGGCUGAGUAUUAGGCAAAUCCGGUACUCGUUAAGGCUGAGCUGUGAUGGGGAGAAGACAUUGAGUCUUCGAGUCGUUGAUUUCACACUGCCGAGAAAAGCCUCUAGAUAGAAAAUAGGUGCCCGUACCGCAAACCGACACAGGUAGUCAAGAUGAGAAUUCUAAGGUGAGCGAGCGAACUCUCGUUAAGGAACUCGGCAAAAUGACCCCGUAACUUCGGGAGAAGGGGUGCUCUUUAGGGUUAACGCCCAGAAGAGCCGCAGUGAAUAGGCCCAAGCGACUGUUUAUCAAAAACACAGGUCUCUGCUAAACCGUAAGGUGAUGUAUAGGGGCUGACGCCUGCCCGGUGCUGGAAGGUUAAGAGGAGUGGUUAGCUUCUGCGAAGCUACGAAUCGAAGCCCCAGUAAACGGCGGCCGUAACUAUAACGGUCCUAAGGUAGCGAAAUUCCUUGUCGGGUAAGUUCCGACCCGCACGAAAGGCGUAACGAUUUGGGCACUGUCUCAACGAGAGACUCGGUGAAAUCAUAGUACCUGUGAAGAUGCAGGUUACCCGCGACAGGACGGAAAGACCCCGUGGAGCUUUACUGUAGCCUGAUAUUGAAAUUCGGCACAGCUUGUACAGGAUAGGUAGGAGCCUUUGAAACGUGAGCGCUAGCUUACGUGGAGGCGCUGGUGGGAUACUACCCUAGCUGUGUUGGCUUUCUAACCCGCACCACUUAUCGUGGUGGGAGACAGUGUCAGGCGGGCAGUUUGACUGGGGCGGUCGCCUCCUAAAAGGUAACGGAGGCGCUCAAAGGUUCCCUCAGAAUGGUUGGAAAUCAUUCAUAGAGUGUAAAGGCAUAAGGGAGCUUGACUGCGAGACCUACAAGUCGAGCAGGGUCGAAAGACGGACUUAGUGAUCCGGUGGUUCCGCAUGGAAGGGCCAUCGCUCAACGGAUAAAAGCUACCCCGGGGAUAACAGGCUUAUCUCCCCCAAGAGUUCACAUCGACGGGGAGGUUUGGCACCUCGAUGUCGGCUCAUCGCAUCCUGGGGCUGUAGUCGGUCCCAAGGGUUGGGCUGUUCGCCCAUUAAAGCGGUACGCGAGCUGGGUUCAGAACGUCGUGAGACAGUUCGGUCCCUAUCCGUCGUGGGCGUAGGAAAUUUGAGAGGAGCUGUCCUUAGUACGAGAGGACCGGGAUGGACAUACCUCUGGUGUACCAGUUGUCGUGCCAACGGCAUAGCUGGGUAGCUAUGUGUGGACGGGAUAAGUGCUGAAAGCAUCUAAGCAUGAAGCCCCCCUCAAGAUGAGAUUUCCCAACUUCGGUUAUAAGAUCCCUCAAAGAUGAUGAGGUUAAUAGGUUCGAGGUGGAAGCAUGGUGACAUGUGGAGCUGACGAAUACUAAUCGAUCGAAGACUUAAUCAA